rnacentral:rRNA from 1 species
ACUCCUACGGGAGGCAGCAGUGGGGAACUAUUGUCACAAUGGGCGCAAGCCUGAUGCAGCCAUGCCGCGUGUAUGAAGAAGGCCUUCGGGUUGUAAAGCACUUUUCAGUAGGGAGGAAGGUAGUGUAGUUAACCACCUGCAUUAUUUGACGUUACCUACAGAAGAAGCACCGGCUAACUCCGUGCCAGCAGCCGCGGUAAUACGGAGGGUGCGAGCGUUAAUCGGAAUUACUGGGCGUAAAAGCGCAUGCAGGCGGCCUGUUAAGUCAGAUGUGAAAGCCCGGGGGCUUAACCUCGGAAUUGCAUUUGAAACUGGCAGGACUAGAGUCUUGUAGAGGGGGGUAGAAUUUCAGGUGUAGCGGUGAAAUGCGUAGAGAUCUG